rnacentral:rRNA from 1 species
CACUUUCAGUCAGGAGGAAAGGUUAACGGUUAAUACCCGUUAGCUGUGACGUUACUGACAGAAGAAGCACCGGCUAACUCCGUGCCAGCAGCCGCGGUAAUACGGAGGGUGCGAGCGUUAAUCGGAAUUACUGGGCGUAAAGCGUACGCAGGCGGUUUGUUAAGCGAGAUGUGAAAGCCCCGGGCUCAACCUGGGAACUGCAUUUCGAACUGGCAAACUAGAGUGUGAUAGAGGGUGGUAGAAUUUCAGGUGUAGCGGUGAAAUGCGUAGAGAUCUGAAGGAAUACCGAUGGCGAAGGCAGCCACCUGGGUCAACACUGACGCUCAUGUACGAAAGCGUGGGGAGCAAACGGGAUUAGAUACCCCGGUAGUCCACGCCGUAAACGAUGUCUACUAGAAGCUCGGAGCCUCGGUUCUGUUUUUCAAAGCUAACGCAUUAAGUAGACCGCCUGGGGAGUACGGCCGCAAGGUUAAAACUCAAAUGAAUUGACGGGGGCCCGCACAAGCGGUGGAGCAUGUGGUUUAAUUCGAUGCAACGCGAAGAACCUUACCUACACUUGACAUACAGAGAACUUACCAGAGAUGGUUUGGUGCCUUCGGGAACUCUGAUACAGGUGCUGCAUGGCUGUCGUCAGCUCGUGUUGUGAGAUGUUGGGUUAAGUCCCGCAACGAGCGCAACCCCUAUCCUUAGUUGCUAGCAG